CUCCUCUCCCCCGCGCCAGGCUGACACCCACACCCCGCGGUCGUGGAGGGUGAGACUUGUGACACCACGGCGCCUCCCCUCUUCCCCCACCAGGGCUGGCUUCCAAGCCUCAGAAACUCGGAUCGGGAGGUACUCACCUGAUCGGACCCUCUGACCCUAUGGGAGGAAACGUCGUGCUCCCAUAAGGACUUGCGCAGUACAGACCGAAGGCCUUACCAAACGCUCCGAGGAGCUGACUACAGUGAAGAACACCCGGGAAGGAACACACCGAGGAGCUGACUACAGCGAUGAACACCCGGGAAGGAACACACCGGAAGGAACACACCAGAAGGAACACACCAGAAGGAACACACUGGACAAGUUGGAAAGUAAAACAGACCUUAGUCUGGCCAGAUGGCACUCCCAAAGCAAAGUAGCUUAGAGAGGCGACUAGUCCAGAGUCCGAGGCUCUUUUUAUAGGGGGUUGCAAGGGAAGUUAACAGGUGAAAUUUACAGAAGAGGAACAAAGGUUAGUGGUCAGCUGACACAUACUGAUGGUCAGCAGAUGUUUGUAGAUUGUUCUAUAGAUAGUGGUGUCAGAACAUCAGUUUUGAAGAAA
ensembl:lncRNA